AAACUAAAUUUUAAAAAUGUAUCUUAUUUGUUGAAACAUAUGAUCAUAGCUUUUUUUUCUUCCCACCAAUAAUCCUAUAUUUUUAUCGUCAAUUCAUCAAGUUAUUAUUUUAUAAAAAGUAUUCAAUUAAUUUAGAUCAAUCAAAUAAUAUUAAAAUAUCUGAAGCACUUGAAAAUCUAGACAUGAUUAUAGACAGAAAGGAACAAAGAAAACAAGACUUUUAAUUAUAAAAAGAAUGUAAUUAUUUAUGUAUUAGCAUUAUAGUUGUUAAUAAAUUAUUUUUUAUUGAAUAAAAUUAUAAUUAAAUUU